AACGAACGCUGGCGGCAUGCCUAACACAUGCAAGUCGAACGGAACCUCCGGGUCUAUGGGGGCAGGGGGGGGUACGGCGGGGGAACUUGCCCUUGGGUUCGGAAUACCUCCCCGAAGGGGGUCCUAAUACCGGUUAAGGUCUUCGGACCAAAGAUUUAUCGCCUUUGGAUGGGCCCGCGUUGGUUUAGCUAGUUGGUAGGGUAAAAGCCUGCCAAGGCGACGAUCCAUAGCUGGUCUGAGAGGAUGAUUAGCCACACUGGGAAUGAGACACGGCCCAGACUCCUACGGGAGGGAGCAGUGGGGAAUAUUGGACGAUGGGCGAAAGCCUGAUCCAGCAAUGCCGCGUGAGUGAUGAAGGCCUUAGGGUUGUAAAGCUCUUUUACCCGGGAUGAUAAUGACAGUACCGGGAGAAUAAGCUCCGGCUAACUCCGUG
rnacentral:rRNA from 1 species